rnacentral:rRNA from 1 species
UGCAAGUCGAACGGUAACAGGAAGCAGCUUGCUGCUUCGCUGACGAGUGGCGGACGGGUGAGUAAUGUCUGGGAAACUGCCUGAUGGAGGGGGAUAACUACUGGAAACGGUAGCUAAUACCGCAUAAUGUCGCAAGACCAAAGAGGGGGACCUUCGGGCCUCUUGCCAUCGGAUGUGCCCAGAUGGGAUUAGCUUGUUGGUGGGGUAACGGCUCACCAAGGCGACGAUCCCUAGCUGGUCUGAGAGGAUGACCAG